GACGAACGCUGGCGGCGUGCUUAACACAUGCAAGUCGAACGGAAAGGCCCUGCUUUUGUGGGGUGCUCGAGUGGCGAACGGGUGAGUAACACGUGUGUAACCUGCCCUUGACUUUGGGAUAACUUCAGGAAAUUGGGGCUAAUACCGGAUAGGAGCUCCUGCUGCAUGGUGGGGGUUGGAAAGUUUCGGCGGUUGGGGAUGGACUCGCGGCUUAUCAGCUUGUUGGUGGGGUAGUGGCUUACCAAGGCUUUGACGGGUAGCCGGCCUGGGAGGGUGACCGGCCACAUUGGGACUGAGAUACGGCCCAGACUCCUACGGGAGGCAGCAGUGGGGAAUAUUGCACAAUGGGCGGAAGCCUGAUGCAGCAACGCCGCGUGCGGGAUGACGGCCUUCGGGUUGUAAACCGCUUUCGCCUGUGACGAAGCGUGAGUGACGGUAAUGGGUAAAGAAGCACCGGCUAACUACGUG
rnacentral:rRNA from 1 species